rnacentral:rRNA from 1 species
AUUGAACGCUGGCGGCAGGCCUAACACAUGCAAGUCGAACGAGUGGCGGACGGGUGAGUAAUGUCUGGGAAACUGCCCGAUGGAGGGGGAUAACUACUGGAAACGGUAGCUAAUACCGCAUACCAUCGGAUGUGCCCAGAUGGGAUUAGCUGGGAGGUGGGGUAACGGCUCACCUAGGCGGCGAUCCCUAGCUGGUCUGAGAGGAUGACCAGCCACACUGGAACUGAGACACGGUCAAGACCCCUACGGGAGGCAGAAGUGGGGAAUAUUGCACAAUGGGCGAAAGCCGGAUGCAGCCAUGCGGCGUGUAUGAAGAAGGCUUUCGGGUUGUAAAGUACUUUCAGCGAGGAGGCGUUACUCGCAGAAGAAGCACCGGCUAACUACGUGCCAGCCGCCGCGGUAAUAC